rnacentral:lncRNA from 1 species
GGCGUCCCAGGGCCAGGAGCGCGGGGAGGCAGGGAAGAGCCAGUGUAGAGGAGAGUCCUCUGAGCAAAGCACCAGGGAGAAACUGGUCAGUGUGGAAGACAUUUUAUUGGAGGAGCCCUCCAAGGUUACUCAGGAAGAACAUCUCUCAGCGACACAUCUUCCCUUAUAAGCCAGGGCUUGAAGAUUACUGCAUUGUAGAUGUUCCCCAGAGCCUCAGGCAUCCAUAGGCUGGGCUUUGUGAAGGAUUGUGGUUGAUGGUCUCCCAACAGCAAGAGGUUAUGGAGGAGAUCUCAUCUGCAGACAAGGAGGAGAAAAACACAGAAGAAUCCCUUACUUCAAAUGAUAUUAGGGAGAUAUAUAAAAUUUAGGAAACAGUGCAAAAUUUUGUAGAAAAGCACCACCCAAAUGAGGCUGUAACAGUGCAAGAGAUGAAUCUGUUUAACAACAAUGAAAUGUCACAUUUCUGCAAAAUCCUCAAAAGGAGGCAAAAGCAAGUGUCACUAGAUAGGUUCCUUGUUAAAGUUGCACAAAAAUUAAAAGAUUCUAUUGAUCCAGUAGAUAGCAGUGAUUCCAUCAGUGACAGUGAACAUCAUCCUGCAUAAUAACCCUCCUCUCUCUUGUCUCCCUCACAUCAGCCAUUAAAGUUUUCAAAGCACUAGGGAUUGAACUCAGGACCUUGCACUUGGCAGGCAGGCACAAUGCCACUGAGCUACAUCCCCAGCAUGACUUCCUAGGAUACAGAGAAGUGACCAUGCAGCUGAGUGGAUGGGCCAGUAACAACCUGAAGUCCUGUUGAGCCACUUCAUCAUCUCAGCAGCAUUAGACGUGUCGCGAGACUGCUUUGGAAAUAAAGAUGAAUAACUGGUAAUCACCUGCACUUCUUGUGAGGAAGCAAACCUGAAAGUAGAAACAUCUAUCUGGGGCUGAAUGCAGAUGAUGGAACGUGACAGGAAGGGCUCAGGCUCAUAUGUUCCCUCAAGGUCAGGCUGUGGAGGUUCAGUGGAUCAAUGAGUGGGGAUAGAAAUUCUACUAAAGUUUUAUGUGAAAGUACCUUGAAGAUAGAAAGAUCUGUAUCAUGUAAGAUGGGGAUGCCAUUUGGAUCUCAGGUAGCAAAGAUUUGAAACUUCAGGUUUUGAGAAAAGGAGAUGUUAAUAUGUGGAAAACUAGGGGAUUUCAGGAGUAGAGAC